UAGGUGGCUGACUUGCUCUUGUGCCUGCUAAUGAUGUUAUAUAUCUCUCCAGUUGUUAGGAGUCAACGGGGCCGUGCUGACGGAGGCACUAACACACAAAAAGAUUAUCGCUAAGGGAGAGGAGCUGAUCAGCCCUCUCAACCUCGAACAGGCAUCCUCAGCUCGAGAUGCUUUGUCAAAGGCAGUGUAUGGACGCACUUUCACCUGGCUU